UGGGGAAUAUUGGACAAUGGGCGCAAGCCUGAUCCAGCCAUGCCGCGUGUGUGAAGAAGGCCUUAUGGUUGUAAAGCACUUUAAGCGAGGAGGAGGGUACUGGUAUUAAUACUACCAGCUACUGGACGUUACUCGCAGAAUAAGCACCGGCUAACUCUGUGCCAGCAGCCGCGGUAAUACAGAGGGUGCGAGCGUUAAUCGGAUUUACUGGGCGUAAAGCGUGCGUAGGCGGCUAAUUGAGUCGGAUGUGAAAUCCCCGAGCUUAACUUGGGAAUUGCAUUCGAUACUGGUUAGCUAGAGUGUGGGAGAGGAUGGUAGAAUUCCAGGUGUAGCGGUGAAAUGCGUAGAGAUCUGGAGGAAUACCGAUGGCGAAGGCAGCCAUCUGGCCUAACACUGACGCUGAGGUACGAAAGCAUGGGGAGCAAACAGG
rnacentral:rRNA from 1 species